rnacentral:rRNA from 1 species
GAUGAACGCUGGCGGCGUGCCUAACACAUGCAAGUCGAACGAUGAAACCGCCCUCGGGCGGACAUGAAGUGGCGAACGGGUGAGUAACACGUGACCGACCUGCCCCCCGCCCAGGGACAGCCCCCCGAAAGGGGGAUUAAUACCUGGUACUCCGGGAGCGGCGCAUGCCGCCCCCGGGAGAGCUCUGGCGGCGGGGGAUGGGGUCGCGGCCCAUCAGGUAGACGGCGGGGCAGAGGCCCACCGUGCCGACGACGGGUAGCCGGGUUGAGAGACCGACCGGCCACAUUGGGACUGAGAUACGGCCCAGACUCCUACGGGAGGCAGCAGUGGGGAAUUUGGCGCAAUGGGGGCAACCCUGACGCAGCAACGCCGCGUGCGGGACGAAGGCGUCCGCGUCGUAAACCGCUUUCAGCGGGGAACACUUUUCGAGGGUACCCGCAGAAGAAGCCCCGGCUAAAUACGUGCCAGCCGCCGCCGUAA